rnacentral:lncRNA from 1 species
GGCCAGGAAUCGAACCUGUAUCCUCAUGGAUACUACUCAGGUUCGUUACUGCUGAGCCACAGUGGGAACGCCAGUGGAUCUGUGCUUUUAAAUAUGCUUGGGAUGUUGAUGCUUAAUAAAGAAGAUCUCAGUGAAUAUCUGUAGAACAAGCCGUUUGAGCUGAGUGGCGUGCGUGUGUAAAGUAGAAGCUGUUUCCUUGGUUAUAAAAUACCCUGGUUCCCUCACCUAAACCUUCUCUUGUUCCCUGGGUUUGACGGCAUAACAUGGAGAUUUGCGGAAGUCACUGUACUGCUACUCCUCCAGCUGGUGAGAGUGAGUCUGAACCAGAAAACCUUGGCAGGGUGAUCAGCUCCAUUCUGCUGUUGAGGAGACGGGAUGAGCGAGGGCAGAGGAUGGAAACCAGAGGUGCACAGCUUUGAGGUCAGACCUGUAACUCCAGGCUUUGUGGGUGCAUUUCAGGCCUUGAACCACCUUGCUGUCAUGAAGCACAGCAAUGCUCAUUUCAGGAUUUCCCUUGUGGUCAGUGAGUUAAGGAUCUGGUGUUGUGGCUGCUGUGGCACAGGUUUGAUCCCUGGCCUGGGAACUUCCACAUGCCAAAAACCCAGACAAACAAAAAUCAGCCCAAAACAAUGCUAAGCUCAGUCCUCCAGUGGCUUUCACCUGGGAAGCCCAGGUGAUGCCGGCUGGGCCUGGCCACUCCCCGGCCUUGCUGUCUAAUGUGCGGUGCUUUGCUCACCAUGUUGGUGGUGUACUUGUGCUCUCCACAGAGGCUGGCAUAGGAUGUGGUCUUCUUUCUCGUGGGGAAUAUGAUGGUGCAUUUUCUCUUCAAUUCACUUAUUUUGCCUGUUUAAAAAUGAUUUGUAUUAUUGACAAACAAGGGGAAAUAUGUUUUCUUUUAAAAUUGUAGUUAACCCUCCCCCAAACUAACCAUCUUAACUAUUUCAAAGUGUGUAGUUCAGGAGUCUUAAAUAGGUAUACAUUGUUGUACAGCAGAUUUUUAGAACUUUUUUCCAAAACUAAAACUCUGUACGGAUUAACACCUCCCCAUUUCUCCCCAUCCCCUCAGCCCCCAGCAACCACCAUGUUACUUCUGUUUUCUGUGAAUUUAACUACUUUAGAUACUUCAUAUUCCUGGGAUCGUAUAGUAUCUGUUUUUUGUGACUGGCUUAUUUCACUUAGUGUAGUGUCCUUAAGAUCGAUCCAUAAUUUCUGUUCUUUUAACUAAAACAUCAUUAAGUUGUAAGGCUUUUUUCUGAGCGACAUUUAUAUGAGUUUUCUAUUUACUGUGUAACAGAUUACUGAUAUUUAGUGUCUUAAAGCAAUAACAUUUGUUAUCUCACAGUUUCUGUGCAUGAUGGGGUCCAGGCAUGGCUUGCUGAUCUCUCUGCUUAGGGCUCAUGUGGCUGCAGUUGUGUGUUGGGCUGUAGUUCUCUUCCAGAACUCAGAGUGCCCCUGCAAGCUCUUGUCGUUGUGGCAGAAUGCAGUUCUUUUGGUUGUAGGACUCACAUCCUGGUUUUCUUGCUGGCUGGAUGGCUGUCGGUUGGCAGCAUGGCUGUCGGUUGGCAGCUUUCUUAGCUCCUAGAGGUGGCCUGCACUCUCUUGCCAGGAAUACUGAUUUAUUUCCUUAACUCUAGGUUAGUUCUGUCUAUUCUAGAGCUUCAUAUAAAUGUAGGAGAUGAUACAACAUGCGUGUUUUGCAUCCAGCUUCUUUAAUGUAAUGUAGCUCUUUGGACUCAGGGCGUGGAACAGAUCGUGUCAGUGGUUUGUUCCUUUCUGUCCCUGUGCGGCUCUUCUCCUGUAUGGACUGCUGCAGUCUAACCAUUCUCGUCUGGAUGCGCAUCCGGGAUGGGGAGCCCUCCCUCUUGGACACCAUUAUGUGGACGGUAUUUUCAUUUCUUUUGCGUAAAUAUCUAGGAGUGGAAUUUGCUCACACAGAUAGAUACCGGGUUGACUUUUAAAGACACUGUCACUUUCCCAAAAUGGUUGUGCAGUUUGCACUCGCAGCAGCAGUGUGUGUGAGUAGUUAGUUCCAGUUGUUCGCUGAACCUCCAGCUUCUGGUUCAUCAGCUGCUGCUAGAUGCUGACCUCUUGUGGUGGGUCUGGCGCGCCUCCCCGGUUACUAACCGUGAUGUGCACUUACUCACAUGUUUGUUGGCUUUUACACCUGCUUUCAUGAAGCGUCUGUUCAGGUCUUUUGCCCAUUAAAAUAAAUUGGGUUUUCUUUUUAUUAUUGAUUUUAGGAAUUCUUUUUCUUUUCUUUUCUUUUUUUUUGUCUUUUUGCCAUUUUUUGGGGUACUCCCUCGGCAUCAUAUGGAAGUUCCCAGGCUAGGGGUCGAACUGGAGCUGCAGCUGCCUGCUGUACCACAGCCACAGCAACCUUGAAUCCGACGGUUGUAACCUGCACCACAGCUCAUGGCAACGCCAGAUCCUUAACCCACUGAGCAAGGCCAGGGAUCGAACCUGCGUCCUCAUGGAUCCUAGUCAGGUUCAUUACUGCUGAGCCACAAUGGGAACUUCCAAAAACUUAAAUAAAUGUUUAUUUAAAGAGAGAAGAGAGAGAAGACAGGUGUGGAGAAAGCAGAGGCAGAGGUGGCUUGGGGCAGGGGUUGAGGGGGAGACCGAGACAGAGGAACGAGAGAGGAAGGGGCCAAAGAUGCCUUUUUUUUAAACCUCCAAAUGAGCACUUCUAUAUCCUUUUGCCCCAGGCGCCCGAAACAUCCUGUCCUGCGUUCUCUCAGUCACACUGUCUGAUGCAGCUGUUUUCCCUUCUGCUCACUCAACCGUGGAUGGUGGUAGAGUCAUCUGCGUUCCUGGGGCUUACUCACUUGUUUUUAGCAAAAGCAUAUGCUCCUGUAUUUUCAUGUUCCUUUUUCCUGUGAUUUCUCAUGCUUAAAAUCUGCAUCUGAAGAGAUGGACCUGUGGUCCCACAGCAAAUUAAAUGACCUCAGCACACUUCCUGGCCUUGGCCUGGAGCCCUGCAUGGGGGAGAGCAGGUACUUCCCCCGCUGGUUGGGGACCUGGCCUCCUUGUGACGUUCCUUCCACGGGUGGUGUGGGUAGGUCAUCGGAGAGUGAGAGCACCUCUGUACAGAGAGGUGGCCAAUUUCAAAGCAGAACCACACCCAGCCAACUUCCUGAGCAGGGCUGUGGGAAAAAGUCCCAAAGAGUUCUGACUGCCCUCAUUUCUCUAAUUUUGCAAGGGCAUCUGCCUGUAAUAGAUUCACCCAAGAGGCAGAUACAUGCUUUUGCUUUCUGGGGUGGUUUGUAGUUGUGGGAUGGCAACAAAUAGAUACUGUAAAUUAGCAACGAGUAGAUACUGUGCACUCUAGAUUAGAUUAGGUGAGAGGAAGAGUUAGAGGAGAUACCAUGGUUAAAGUAGAAAA